GACGAACGCUGGCGGCGUGCCUAAUACAUGCAAGUCGAGCGAGAGCGACCGGUGCUUGCACUGGUCAAUCUAGUGGCGAGCGGGUGAGUAACACGUGGGUAACCUGCCCAUCAGAGGGGGAUAACAUCCGGAAACGGAUGCUAAAACCGCAUAGGUCUUCGAACCGCAUGGUUUGAAGAGGAAAAGAGGCGCAAGCUUCUGCUGAUGGAUGGACCCGCGGUGCAUUAGCUAGUUGGUGAGGUAACGGCUCACCAAGGCCGUGAUGCAUAGCCGACCUGAGAGGGUGAUCGGCCACAUUGGGACUGAGACACGGCCCAAACUCCUACGGGAGGCAGCAGUAGGGAAUCUUCCGCAAUGGACGCAAGUCUGACGGAGCAACGCCGCGUGAGUGAAGAAGGUUUUCGGAUCGUAAAACUCUGUUGUUAGAGAAGAACAAGUGCUAGAGUAACUGUUAGCGCCUUGACGGUAUCUAACCAGAAAGCCACGGCUAACUACGUG
rnacentral:rRNA from 1 species